UGGUAAAACCGGCUCUUUCUGACAGGGCAACGGGAAGCGGGCGGAUGUCUCGCGGAUGUGCAGAAAGGACCCGGACCAUUCCACCUGGGGAUCGAACUCAGGACCUUCUUGCUGUGAGGCUACAGUGCUACCCACCGAGCCACCGUGCCACCCUAUAGAACUGGACACUGUACAAAGAAGAGAUAUUUUACCUUUCUCACUUAUAAUGCCUGCAGUGCAUUCCAAAGGGGCAUUGAAAAAUCGGGAGGUUUUACAACUCUGCACAGGCGACAGCUGGUGUUGAACUUCUGGACGUGUCUGAAAAAUCCCA